rnacentral:tRNA from 1 species
UCCCUGGAGGACUAGUGGUUAGGCCACAGCACUCUCGCUGCUGCAACCCAGGUUUGAUUCCUGGCCAGGGAA